UGCCCUAUCCGUCAGUCGCUGC
rnacentral:miRNA from 1 species